rnacentral:lncRNA from 1 species
UUUUUUUUUUUUUUUUUUUUUUUGCAAGUGUCAGGGAAAGAAUGAUAAGCCUUCCACAAGUAGCUCUGGUCAUAAAAACAGGAAGACAAGAAAAUGGCACCUCCUUCCCCCUUUCAGAACUGUGAUUUGGUAAUUGAGCUGAAAACAUAUGUCAUUCUGGUUCCUAAGAGGCAGAGACAAAAGUAGGAAUGCUUUCUAGGAGGAAGGCAACAGUGGACCAUGGAGGGGUGAUGGAGGAAUGUGAGCAGAGAGGCCCCAGGGAUACCAGAGCAGGCAGGAGGUGACCCACUGGCCCAGGGGAAGCCAUAGAGGCUGGAGGGAAGAAAGGUGCUGCCGUGGUCUCCCCCACCAUGCCCUGCAGCACAGCUACUCCCAUGCCUUCUCCACUCCUGGUUAGUGAUCUGCACAGGUAGCAGCUACCACCAGGCCAGAAUGAACCCAGAGGGUGGGAACUGAAGCAACUAACCAAGGAUCCUGAUGGAUGCCAACAGGGGAAAGGACAGGUCCUGCCCACUUUAUGAGAAAGGGUGUCCUGGCCCUUCCUGGAGAGCUGCUGGGAAGAUCUGGGAAGCUAACCUGAGAAGCAAAACCACACAGAUGCCCUGGGCACCCUCGUUGGCAGUAGUUGAACUGGGGCAAGUUGCUUUGGAGGUCAUUCUGUUCUACUGUCCACGUGCCACCCACUGCUUCAUGUUGGGUGCGAAGUCUGCGGUGUUUUCUGUGGAUGGUGGUGAGAACAGCCAUCCUUCACAGCUGUGCAGCAGGGUUACACAGAAUUCCCAGGCAUGCGGGGCAAGACCCCUGGCGCUGGCCUCUGUCUCCCCACCCCACUUCUGGGCUGUCACUGUCCCUUCAGUAGAUUCCCUGUGUUUCCUGAGCACACCUGGAGGCAAGUCACUGUCCUGAGUGUGCACUGUCCCAAGGCUGCAGAGAGAACUAAAACAGUAUUUCUGUUUUUUAAAUAAGCUCUUUUGUAUCAUUUUUAUUACAUUCCACAUGUAAGUGAUAUCAUAUGGUAUUUGUCUUUCUCUGCCUGACUUCACUCAGUAUGAUAAUCUCUAGUUGCCUUCAUGUUGCAUUAUUUCAUUCUCUUUAUGGCUAAGUAAUAUUCCUUUGUAUACAUGUACCACAUCUUCUUAAUCCAUUCCUCUGUCGAUGGACCUUUAGGUUGCUUCUAUAACUCGGUUAUUGAAAAUAGUGCUGCUGUGAACAUUGGGGUCCAUGUACCUUUUCAAAUUAUAGUUUUCUCUGGAUAGAUGCCCAGGAAUGGGAUUACAGGAUUAUAUGGCAACUCUGUUUUCAGUUUUUUGGGAAUUUCCAUACUGUUUUCCACAGUGUCUGCAUCAGUUUAUAUUCCUGCCGACAGUGAAGAAGGGUUCCCUUUUCUGCUAACCCCUUUCCCAAGCCAGGGCAUAUUCCAGGUUCCAGAGUCUGUAGGACCAGGACAGAAAGUCACAGGCACCAAGCUCAGUUUGGCUCUUCCUGGCACCUCCCACAUCCUGCAAGGCUCUGCUGUAGAGAAGCUUGAUUUAGGUUUCUUGUUAGUUAAAUUCAAGAGUUUCAUGCAGAGUGAGGUUGAUUUCCCUCCUGAUUUCCAAAAGACAAGUAACUAUUUUUUACAUUUCAGGAGCCCCUUUAAAAAUGAUAUAUAUUAAAAAGUAGGAGCUAGUUUGAACAUUAAGUGCUUACAUGUACAUUAUUAGAAGUGGAGAAAACAGCAGGAAAUCUCAUGGGGCCAGCUCAAUUGGUGCCUGGCUGCCUUAUUUUUAAGGGAAUCCAUAAAGCAGAGGCACAGAUAAUGCAGAGUCUUAGUUACAGAUAAGAAGCCUGCUUCUUACCUUGUCAUUAUUUAGUCAAGCCAGGCUCUCUCUUUGCUGUGUGACCAUGGGGCGCUGCCCCCAGGAGGGGCUGAUCACAGCACAUUGUGCUGCCCUGUCCUGGUCCUCUGGGCCACCCCAAAUCACUGGAAGCAGGCAGGCGUGCAAUUCCCAAUCUCUUGAGACUCGCCUUUGUAACUGUCUUGCAGGGUUGGCAGAAUCCUUGGAUUCCAAACCUUCCUUUACUGGAAGACAGAUCUAGAGUGGCCAGUCCUCUUCCCUUUGUGUCCCUAUGUUGUAUCCCCCCCACUUCCACAUACCUCUCACUAGCUUGCUUGGGCCUCUGCGGUGUCCACGUCUCCUCUGGUGACCAGAGGUUGACUAGUGUAGUCUGGUUUGGUGUUCAGGAAUUUUCACCAGGAGCCCAAAUCUAUGCUGAAAAAGUUGUUCCAAACCCAGGCAGAGAAACAUCUACUUUAAUAUAAGGGUCAGGGAGUUUGCAUUGUGGCUCAGUGAGUUAAGAACCUGCUAGAGUGUCCAUGAGAAUGUGAAUUCAAUCCCUGGCCUCACUCAGUGGGUUAAGGGUCUGGCAUUGCUGCAAGCUGUGACAUAAGUUGCUGUGGCUCAGAUCUGGUGUUGCUGUGGCCUCUUGUAGCCCUUCAGCUGUAGCUCUGAUUCAACCCCUAGCCUGAGAACUUCCCUAUGCCUCAGGUACAGCAUUGAAAAG